CCUAUUGGUGACUGGGUAGGCCUCUGGCCAUCUUGAGAACAUAUCCACUAUAACUAGUGCAUAUUCAAACCGGCCACUCUUUGGCAUUUGGAUGUGGUCAACUUGGAUUCUUUGGAAAGGGGUAGUGAGGUUUAGGUUUGGCCAGAUGCUUCGGGUGGGGGCUUUCUCCAUCCUGCCUGGGUUGCAUUUGGCACAGAUGAUGCAGGAUCUGCAGUAACUGUUGGUCAGAGAGGUAAUUCUAGGUGCUUCAUAGUAUUUGUUGUCCAAGAACCCCAUGAACUCUUUUGAUCAAGUGUUGUGCUCCAUGGGCCCAGUGGACCAUUGGUGAGUACAUGUGUAAUGGAUCGCCUGGCACCCCGACUGGGUACCUCAGUUGAAAGAUGCUCCUAGCGCUUCCUGAGGACUCCAAGCACUGCAGCUGACACCACAAUCACCGAACCAGAGAAGCGUAUACCUUCUCUCAAGCAUAUGAAUGCUGUAGACCGUUGAAUAGGAACCAUACGAAUAGGUUUACUCUCCUAGCAGUCAAACUGGAACAGCAUACAAGAAAUCCUUCCCUCAAUAAU